rnacentral:rRNA from 1 species
GCACGAAGUCGGAAUUGCUAGUAAUCGUAGGUCAGCAUACUACGGUGAAUACGUUCCCGGGCCUUGUACACACCGCCCGUCAACCAUGAGAGUUGGCAACACCCGAAGUCGGUAGUCUAACCGCAAGGAGGACGCCGCCGAAGGUGGGGUUGAUGAUUAGGGUUAAGUCGUAACAAGGUACC